rnacentral:lncRNA from 1 species
AACUCUGCAGCGGCCCGGUAGCCGCAUCGCAGCGCGCAUCGCCUGAUCGAUGCAACAGGGAUCUGUCGCUUGAUGCCUUUUCAUCUGUCGUGUUGCGUGAGAUCGUAGCAGUCACAUGUAGUGUCAGCGAUUCCACAAGACUGCGUUCGGGAUUCGGUUGCGAAAUCGAAGCCAUGGAGCGGGGCCCCCGCCUCAAGUGCUACUGUGAUAUCUGCACCAAUCACACCUGUGAAACCGAUGGCAUAUGUUUCGCCACCACAACAAAAUCCAAGAAGGGCGCCCUCAUGCACCAGUACCGUUAUCGACCGUGGGCACUUUGAGAAGUGCUUGAAACUAUUUUCAUUCAUCGGGAUAUAUCCUUUUUAUCAUACAUGC